rnacentral:rRNA from 4 species
GGAGCGUUCUGUAAGCCUGCGAAGGUGUGCUGUGAGGCAUGCUGGAGGUAUCAGAAGUGCGAAUGCUGACAUAAGUAACGAUAAAGCGGGUGAAAAGCCCGCUCGCCGGAAGACCAAGGGUUCCUGUCCAACGUUAAUCGGGGCAGGGUGAGUCGACCCCUAAGGCGAGGCCGAAAGGCGUAGUCGAUGGGAAACAGGUUAAUAUUCCUGUACUUGGUGUUACUGCGAAGGGGGGACGGAGAAGGCUAUGUUGGCCGGGCGACGGUUGUCCCGGUUUAAGCGUGUAGGCUGGUUUUCCAGGCAAAUCCGGAAAAUCAAGGCUGAGGCGUGAUGACGAGGCACUACGGUGCUGAAGCAACAAAUGCCCUGCUUCCAGGAAAAGCCUCUAAGCAUCAGGUAACAUCAAAUCGUACCCCAAACCGACACAGGUGGUCAGGUAGAGAAUACCAAGGCGCUUGAGAGAACUCGGGUGAAGGAACUAGGCAAAAUGGUGCCGUAACUUCGGGAGAAGGCACGCUGAUAUGUAGGUGAAGUCCCUUGCGGAUGGAGCUGAAAUCAGUCGAAGAUACCAGCUGGCUGCAACUGUUUAUUAAAAACACAGCACUGUGCAAACACGAAAGUGGACGUAUACGGUGUGACGCCUGCCCGGUGCCGGAAGGUUAAUUGAUGGGGUCAGCGCAAGCGAAGCUCUUGAUCGAAGCCCCGGUAAACGGCGGCCGUAACUAUAACGGUCCUAAGGUAGCGAAAUUCCUUGUCGGGUAAGUUCCGACCUGCACGAAUGGCGUAAUGAUGGCCAGGCUGUCUCCACCCGAGACUCAGUGAAAUUGAACUCGCUGUGAAGAUGCAGUGUACCCGCGGCAAGACGGAAAGACCCCGUGAACCUUUACUAUAGCUUGACACUGAACAUUGAGCCUUGAUGUGUAGGAUAGGUGGGAGGCUUUGAAGUGUGGACGCCAGUCUGCAUGGAGCCGGCCUUGAAAUACCACCCUUUAAUGUUUGAUGUUCUAACGUGGACCCGUGAUCCGGGUUGCGGACAGUGUCUGGUGGGUAGUUUGACUGGGGCGGUCUCCUCCUAAAGAGUAACGGAGGAGCACGAAGGUUGGCUAAUCCUGGUCGGACAUCAGGAGGUUAGUGCAAUGGCAUAAGCCAGCUUGACUGCGAGCGUGACGGCGCGAGCAGGUGCGAAAGCAGGUCAUAGUGAUCCGGUGGUUCUGAAUGGAAGGGCCAUCGCUCAACGGAUAAAAGGUACUCCGGGGAUAACAGGCUGAUACCGCCCAAGAGUUCAUAUCGACGGCGGUGUUUGGCACCUCGAUGUCGGCUCAUCACAUCCUGGGGCUGAAGUAGGUCCCAAGGGUAUGGCUGUUCGCCAUUUAAAGUGGUACGCGAGCUGGGUUUAGAACGUCGUGAGACAGUUCGGUCCCUAUCUGCCGUGGGCGCUGGAGAACUGAGGGGGGCUGCUCCUAGUACGAGAGGACCGGAGUGGACGCAUCACUGGUGUUCGGGUUGUCAUGCCAAUGGCACUGCCCGGUAGCUAAAUGCGGAAGAGAUAAGUGCUGAAAGCAUCUAAGCACGAAACUUGCCCCGAGAUGAGUUCUCCCUGACCCUUUAAGGGUCCUGAAGGAACGUUGAAGACGACGACGUUGAUAGGCCGGGUGUGUAAGCGCAGCGAUGCGUUGAGCUAACCGGUACUAAUGAACCGUGAGG